rnacentral:rRNA from 8 species
AAACUGCGAUACGUAGUGUGAAUUGCAGAAUUCCGUGAAUCAUCGAGUCUUUGAACGCAAAUUGCGCCCUCGGUUUGAAGCCGGGGGCACGUCUGUCUGAGCGUCCGUU